GACGGAGGGUGCUAGCGUUGUUCGGAAUUACUGGGCGUAAAGGGCUCGUAGGUUGCCAACUAAGUCAGACGUGAAAUCCCUCGGCUUAACCGGGGAACUGCGUCUGAUACUGGAUGGCUUGAGUUCGGGAGAGGGAUGCGGAAUUCCAGGUGUAGCGGUGAAAUGCGUAGAUAUCUGGAGGAACACCGGUGGCGAAGGCGGCAUCCUGGACCAAUACUGACGCUGAGGCGCGAAAGCUAGGGGAGCAAACGGG
rnacentral:rRNA from 1 species